rnacentral:rRNA from 1 species
GACGAACGCUGGCGGCGUGCUUAACACAUGCAAGUCGAACGGAAAGGCCCUGCUUUUGUGGGGUGCUCGAGUGGCGAACGGGUGAGUAACACGUGAGUAACCUGCCCUUGACUUUGGGAUAACUUCAGGAAACUGGGGCUAAUACCGGAUAGGAGCUCCUGCUGCAUGGUGGGGGUUGGAAAGUUUCGGCGGUUGGGGAUGGACUCGCGGCUUAUCAGCUUGUUGGUUGGGUAGUGGCUUACCAAGGCUUUGACGGGUAGCCGGCCUGAGAGGGUGAACGGCCACAUUGGGACUGAGAUACGGCCCAGACUCCUACGGGAGGCAGCAGUGGGGAAUAUUGCACAAUGGGCGGAAGCCUGAUGCAGCAACGCCGCGUGCGGGAUGACGGCCUUCGGGUUGUAAAACGCUUUCGCCUGUGACGAAGCGUGAGUGACGGUAAUGGGUAAAGAAGCACCGGCUAACUACGUG